AUAUUAAGCUUGUGAACCAGAAUAGCGUAGCUGAAGUCAACAUAUCUUAGAUCGAAUUUAAAUUACUUACUUCGCGUCCUUGCGGCGCUGGAUCGAUGGCCG